rnacentral:rRNA from 1 species
AUUGAACGCUGGCGGCAGGCCUAACACAUGCAAGUCGAACGAGGGGCAGGCGGGAGAGAAACGUGUGGGAAAUUGCCCGAUGGAGGGGGAUAACUACGGGAAACGGUAGCUAAUACCGCAUACCAUCGGAUGUGCCAAGAGGGGAUUAGCUAGUAGGUGGGGUAACGGCUCACCUAGGCGACGAUCCCUAGCUGGUCUGAGAGGAUGACCGGCCACACUGGAACGGAGACACGGUCCAGACUCCUACGGGAGGCAGCAGUGGGGAAUAUUGCACAAUGGGCGCAAGCCUGAUGCAGCAAUGCCGCGUGUAUGAAGAAGGCCUUCGGGUUGUAAAGUACUUUCAGCGAGGAGGCGUUACUCGCAGAAGAAGCACCGGCUAACUCCGUGCCAGCAGCCGCGGUAAUAC